UUGGUUGUUAAAGUGGUAAUGCUGCGUUCCAUGCAACCCGUAACUCGUGUUUUCACAACCUUCUACCUGUGAAAGUGCCCUGGAACGGCAGUCAAACCCGUAACUUACUACUCGUGAACUCAUACCAGAUC